AGAGUUUGAUCAUGGCUCAGGAUGAACGCUAGCGGCAGGCUUAAUACAUGCAAGUCGAGGGGCAGCAGACCGCUUCGGUGGUGCUGGCGACCGGCAAACGGGUGCGUAACACGUAUGCAACCUACCUCUAUCAAGGGGAUACCCCCGGGAAACUGGGAUUAAUACCCUAUAAUAUUACGUAACUGCAUGAUUAUGUAAUUAAAGCUCAGGCAGAUAGAGAUGGGCGUGCGUCUGAUUAGGUAGUUGGUAGGGUAAUGGCCUACCAAGCCGACGAUCAGUAGCUGAUGUGAGAGCAUGAUCAGCCACACGGGCACUGAGACACGGGCCCGACUCCUACGGGAGGCAGCAGUAGGGAAUAUUGGGCAAUGGAGGCAACUCUGACCCAGCCAUGCCGCGUGAAGGAUGAAUGUCCUUUGGAUUGUAAACUUCUUUUAUAAGGGAAGAAACCUGCGGAUUUAUCUGCAGUGACGGUACCUACGAAUAGAC
rnacentral:rRNA from 1 species